rnacentral:rRNA from 1 species
CCAAGACACGUCGCACCUUGUCGAAACGCGGCGCGUCGGGACAACCGAGCAGGGACUAUGCAGUGCAGUACGUUAAAUGAUGCGUAAGUGUAGUAAGGAGGAGUGGACAGUAGAUGGAGGUGGGUGGAGUGAGACGAAGAAGCGGCGCCUUCCCCUUAGGUGGUCUCCCUGGUUCCCCCUCGUUGUCGGGGGAGCGGCAGCUUGAUGACCUGCCGCCGAUCCUAGAGAGAGGAGGCUGCCCGGCUGUUCACAGCCCCCGCUCCCCACCCGUCCGGGUUUUAGUAGGCCGGCCAGUUCCGCGUAUCUCUCCCUUCUACUGACCAAAAAAUCGCCCUAGGUUAGACCAUACCAACAGUUAGCUAAUCUCUUGUCGCUUUUCAGCGGACUUCUAACCUUGUCACUACCCCUACCAAGUCCACCGAGGUGACCAAACGGACUUAGUGGUACAAAGUGCAGGUCCGAUAGACACGAGUUUCACCCAAGUCAGUAUUCGUUCAAAUCACUUAAGUUCGCGGUCAAUCAGUCCCUUUAACCUAAGCUACCUUAAGAACUCGAUUUUAGUACCGUCUUCUAGUUGGACUUUAUGUUGCGAAUAGAUUACCUAUCUCAGCUACAUCUAAGUUCAUAUUAUUUAGAACUCCCGGUUCCACAAGAACUUGAUACACUGUUCUUGUACUUAAUACACAAACCGGAGGGUACACCGCUAAGUUGGUAUGUUCGGCUUCCUCAGCUCGACAGUCGUCGAACGUAACUCAUAUGGGCACACCGUCGUAGCAAAUCACUGUCUCCGUGGGUGUCGGACUUUCGUCGUCUCCGUAUGAAUUCGUCUACGUAUUAUCUUAGUAGAUGAAUCAAUCUCAUCCUGACGAAGUUUUAUCAAAAACAAUAAAAAAAACAACCAGUACACGACCGUGGAUGACGCUUCGUGCUAAUAUAUAGGUAACUAACGACCCGACGUGACUUACUAUAGUCGUUCUAUUUCCUAACCUUAACCCCUCCUAUACACAACUUUUUAGACAAAGUUCGACAGUUUUUCAAGUUCCGUCUACAAAACUCUUCUUUGGGUUGGCACGUAUAUCAACCUACAGUAGAUAAAGACGUCGAAAAACACGGACUAUCGGAGCUCGACCCACAAGAUUUGUCCCGUUCUCCACAUUGGAGCGAAUAUCCGAACAUACUGAUACUCAGCUAGUUCUUAUACCAACUCUUUUAAUGUCACUUACAACGGGGCCCGCUUCAAAGGAAAGUGCCGCGUCGCCACACAUCGUUCGAGAGAUACUCUUUGGAUUAACCUACGUCAGACUUCCUUCAGACACGUUGUUUUUGUGGUUUCGGGUGCUCUCGCGGUUUUUUCCGUUUACGUCGCACGUGUGGUUAAGAUGCCUUAUCGACACGGUUUUGGCCGGGCGUUCUCAAAAGUUUAAUAUAUGCUCGUGCGAUGGGUUCGUAUAGUCGCCUCUUUGAGCCAUAUGAAGAAGCCCUCGUCUUACGGGCACCCGAUCGUUUAUAAUGUCUUUAUGCAGUUCGCAAGAUCAGGUUAUACAAGUGAAAGUGACUGUUCGGUUACUGUACGUAUCGUCUAUCGACGUGAACAACGUUCCGCGUACCUUCGUUUUCCACGUAGAACUUCUCCCUUCUGUGCUUGUGACUGGUACAUGGAGCGUAACGUAGUCAUCUAGUUCGGGUUAAGUCGUGCGGAAGUCAUUCGUUCUAACCUGGGGCUAAUGGUCGUGGUCCUUUGGUGCUUCCGUGGCACAGCCGUUUGUCAAGGCACAGAUCCUUUUCUUUACCGUCAAAUAGAAGUUCGUAUGUCAGUCCGUGUUGUUUCUUUUAGACGAGUGCACUAGUCGUCCGACAACAACGUCAUUGGGGACUAUACAGAGGUUGCAUAGAUAUUAAAAACUAACAAGGUACGAUAAUAUAAUAGUUGGAACCUACAAAAUAUACGUAAAUAUACGAUAAAAUAUACUAAAAACCCUGAUUGGAUAAUUGGAUCUCGGAUCACGGUCAAAGACAAAAAAGGAACAAAAACUCAAAGUGUCUUUUCCUUUUGGCUUGCCUCAGGUUAACUGGAUUUUGAAGUGCCUCGAAUAAAAACCUGGUCUUCUUCCUGUACCUCAUUUUCUCAACCGGUCUUCUAAAGGCCCGACGGGUGCACCCACCCCCCUCGCAGGUGGGGGGACCCGCGCGGAGGGAUGGAGCACCUGUCGGGCCUCUGGGGGAACUGAACAAGAGCUGUGGUUUUGGAGAAUAUAUAUGAUUUUGAAGGUCUUUCUUUGGAUCUAGCCCUGAAGGCGGCGGUCUUCGGAGGCAUCGGUGGCUUUUGGUUAGAUCUGGGCAAGGCCGUGGGACGGCCUCCCCCCCUUAGGUAGAGGCCACCGGUAGAAGUAGUAGAGCCGCGAGAGUACUGCUCCUCCCUUAUCAAGAGGGAGCCCCGACUCCCAUACAUGUCAUCGAUGCACAAACUAGCGAGAUACACAAGAACUAAGCCUUGCUACAACUACAUAGCGCUCGAAACGAUGAUAUUAACCUAGAAUACUACAAAGAGGGGGAGAUGAGAGA